GGCCACAAUGGCUGGAGCUGAGCCAUCUGAAGCCAGGAGCCAAGAGCUUCUACCAGUACUCCCAUGCAGGUACAGGGGCCCAAGGACUCAAGCCAACCUCUUCUGAUUUCUCAGACCAUAAGCAGGUGGCUGGAUGUGAAGUGGAGGAACUGGGACGUGAACCGGUGCCCACAUGGGAUGCUGACACUUGCAGGUGAAGAUGAAUCUAUUGAGCUAAUGCACAGGCCCCUCUGUUUUUAAAGAUCUGUGAGCCUUGCUAAGUAGAUGCUGUAUCAUUUUGACAUUUUGAAUUGUGUUUCUCCUGUCAGCUUAAAAUUCAGCAUGAGACUCUACCGUGAUACAGUCACAGCAAGAGAAACAUGAGUCCUGGGCUUGUCAGCCAUGUCUAUUUAGUCUUUCUUCUUUCCCCAGGUGAAUUAUGGCUUCCAACAGGGGGAUCUGCCUUAAUCAGCUUUGUUUAUUGCAUCCAGUUUCUCUCAUGAAAGGUGCAUAUGGAGUAAAACUGCUGGGAGGACAAAAAGAUGAAGAACGCAGUUGUAUUUCAUUUUGUGCUGGCCAGGAGAAAAGUUCCUCUUUGAUGACGUUAAAUCCGGGCGGUUCUGGAAAGACAAGUAGCAAGUCCUUUCAAAUAAAUAUACCAUUAAAUAUUUUGUUCAAAAAAUAAGUGAUCAUUGAAAAUGUCCAAACUUUUAAAAGCAAGGCAGACAUCCAGAUGUGGAAGCCUGGAAGGACCCCCCCAGACCCAAGCAAAAAAGAGUUUCUCCAAGGCAUAGAACAGUAAAAUUGUCAAAACUCUCGAAAAGUAGCAAAAGAGAGAAAAUCUUAAAGAUAGUGAGAUAAAAAACAGUUACAUAUGAAGGAAAAUCCAUCAAACUAGCAUCCUAUUUCUCUGUAGAAAUCCAACAGGUGAAAAGAGGCCGGGGUGACAAACUU